GUGCUCUCUGUGGCAGCACUUAUACUAUAAUUGAAAUGAACAGAGAAGUUUAACAUGACACCAAUAAAAAGAUGACACACGGGCUGGAGAGAUGGCUUAGCGGUUA